GGGAAUUUUGCGCAAUGGGGGAAACCCUGACGCAGCAACGCCGCGUGGAGGAUGAAGUAUCUUGGUACGUAAACUCCUUUCGAUGAGGAAGAUAAUGACGGUACCCAUAGAAGAAGCCCCGGCUAACUUCGUGCCAGCAGCCGCGGUAAUACGAGGGGGGCAAGCGUUGUUCGGAAUUAUUGGGCGUAAAGGGUGCGUAGGCGGUUUGAUAAGUCAUCUGUGAAAUCUAUGGGCUCAGCCCAUAGUCUGCAGGCGAAACUGUCGGGCUUGAGUAGUGGAGAGGUGAGUGGAAUUUCCGGUGUAGCGGUGAAAUGCGUAGAUAUCGGAAGGAACACCUGUGGCGAAAGCGGCUCACUGGACACUAACUGACGCUGAGGCACGAAAGCUAGGGGAGCAAAC
rnacentral:rRNA from 1 species